ensembl:rRNA 5S_rRNA 5S ribosomal RNA
GGCCGCAGCCAUAUCACCCUGCAGCCCAAUAUUGGUUACUUACUGAAGCUAAGCAGGGCUGAGCCUGAUCAGUACCUGGAUGGGAAACUACAUGGAAAAGCUAGAUUGCUGUUGGAA